rnacentral:rRNA from 1 species
ACCGGCAGCUCAAGUGGUGGCCAUUAUUAUUGGGCCUAAAGCGUUCGUAGCCGGUUUGAUAAGUCUCUGGUGAAAUCCCGCAGCUUAACUGUGGGACUUGCUGGAGAUACUAUCAGACUUGAGGUCGGGAGAGGUUAGGGGUACUCCCAGGGUAGGGGUGAAAUGCUUAGAGCCUGGGGGGACCACCUUGGGCGAAGGGGCCUAACGGGGACGGACCUGACGGUGAAGUACUAAAGCCAGGGGGCGCGAACCG